rnacentral:rRNA from 1 species
GGGCUGCAGUGGGGAAUUUUGCGCAAUGGGCGAAAGCCUGACGCAGCAAUACCGCGUGAGUGAAGAAGGCCUUUGGGUCGUAAAGCUCUUUUCUUGGGGAAGAUAAUGACGGUACCCAAGGAAUAAGCACCGGCUAACUCCGUGCCAGCAGCCGCGGUAAUACGGAGGGUGCAAGCGUUGUUCGGAUUUACUGGGCGUAAAGGGCACGUAGGCGGCAUAGUAAGUUAAGGGUGAAAUCCCGGGGCUCAACUCCGGAACUGCUCUUAAAACUGCUAAGCUAGAGAUAGUCAGAGGCGGGUGGAAUUCCUGGUGUAGAGGUGAAAUUCGUAGAUAUCAGGAGGAACACCGGAGGCGAAGGCGGCCCGCUGGGGCUAUUCUGACGCUAAUGUGCGAAAGCGUGGGGAGCAAACGGGAUUAGAUACCCCUGUAGUC